rnacentral:rRNA from 1 species
AAUGAACGUUGGCGGCAUGGAUUAGGCAUGCAAGUCGAGCGAGAAGAGUUUUGAAGCUUGCUUUAGAACUCGGACAGCGGCGAAAGGGAGAGUAACGCGUAGUUAUGUGCCCUAGGGUCCGGAAUAGCCACGGGAAACUGUGGGUAAUGCCGGAUAAUAUCCCCGGAUCAAAGGUGUGAUUCCGCCCUAGGAGCAGACUGCGUCCUACUAGCUAGUUGGUGGGGUAAUGGCCCACCAAGGCAAUGAUGGGUAGCGGGUGUGAGAGCAUGACCCGUCUCACUGGGACUGAGACACUGCCCAGACACCUACGGGUGGCUGCAGUCGAGAAUCUUCGGCAAUGGGCGAAAGCCUGACCGAGCGAUGCCGCGUGCGGGAUGAAGGCCCUCGGGUUGUAAACCGCUGUCGUAGGGGAGGAAGGUUCCGUGAAGAGCGGGACUUGACCUAUCCUAGGAGGAAGUACGGGCUAAGUUCGUGCCAGCAGCCGCUGUAAGAC